GACGAACGCUGGCGGCGUGCUUAACACAUGCAAGUCGAACGGAAAGGCCCCUUUGGGGGUGCUCGAGUGGCGAACGGGUGAGUAACACGUGGGUGAUCUGCCCUGCACUUUGGGAUAAGCCUGGGAAACUGGGUCUAAUACCGGAUAGGACUACGGGCUGCAUGGUCUGUGGUGGAAAGCUUUUGCGGUGUGGGAUGGGCCCGCGGCCUAUCAGCUUGUUGGGGGGGUGAUGGCCUACCAAGGCGACGACGGGUAGCCGGCCUGGGAGGGUGUCCGGCCACACUGGGACUGAGAUACGGCCCAGACUCCUACGGGAGGCAGCAGUGGGGAAUAUUGCACAAUGGGCGCAAGCCUGAUGCAGCGACGCCGCGUGAGGGAUGACGGCCUUCGGGUUGUAAACCUCUUUCAGCAUCGACGAAGCGCAAGUGACGGUAGAUGCAGAAGAAGCACCGGCCAACUACGUGCCAGCAGCCGCCGUAA
rnacentral:rRNA from 1 species